GGGGCGUCCCGGGGCCGCCGGCGGAGCGUCGCCGGGAGCCCUGGCCCCCACCCGGGGCCGCGUCGCUGCGGCGGGAGCCUCCUUUUCGGGGCCCCUCGUCAAUAAAGAGGGGUGUUUUUGUACGCCGUGUCCCCUGUGUGGCUGCGCUGGGGACGGAGGGGACGGCGCUGGGAGCUUGGGGACAGCAUGGGGACAACCGCGGGGCGAGGGGCAGCGGAUGGGUUUGAGGGACGGGACAGGGAUGGAGGGGACGGGGUUGGGGGAUGAGGAGGUGAGUGGUGGUGCACGGGAUGCCUGGGGACAGGGCAAGGACAGAGGGGCUGGGGCUGGGGACAGGACAGGGAUGGAGGGGACAGGGAUGGGGCUGGGGACAGGACAAGGAUCAAGAGGACAGGGAUGGGCCAGUGGGACCAGAUGAGGAUGGAGGGGACAGGGAUGGGGACAGUGAAGAUGGUGGUAACAAGGAUGGAGAUGGAGCUGAGGGACAGGGCAAGGACAGAGGGGCUGGGGCUGGGGACAGGAUGGGGCUCGGGGACUGGGUGAGGAUGGAGGUGAUGGGAACAGGGAUGGAGCCAGGACAAGGACUGAGGGAACAGGGCUGGGGACAAGAUGAGAAUGGAGGGGACAGGGAUGGGGGACAGGAUGAGGAGGGAGGUGCCAAAGCUGGGGAUGGUGCUGAGGGACAAGGCAGGAUGGGGACAGAGAGGACAGGGCAGCGAUGGAGGGGACAGGGCUGGGGGAGGAGGAUGGCGGUGACGGGGAUGGGGACAGGACAGUGA
rnacentral:lncRNA from 1 species